ensembl:lncRNA
CCUCUUUUUACACCAUUUUUCAAUACUUGAUAAAAUUUUAUAUGUUGACUUUUUUCUAAAGAACUAUAAUUUUUCCAGAAGUCUAGAUUAAUAUGUUGAUAUUUAAGCGGUCUGAGAGUGUAGGUGGUGAGGCUCUAUAUUUUUAAGAUGAUAAGAGAUUAAUUACCUUUCAGGAAAUUAGUGAACAGACUUCAUCAGUGUUUUGCCUUCUUUGAGUUUCCAUUACUGGGAGAUUAACUUCCAUUAUAUUUGAAGUAUUUUUCUUAAUAUUUCAAGUAUAUCUGAGAUACUUCCACUAAUCCUUGAAAUAGAAUUAGUCAGACAAGAUUUCUCUCUUGAGCAAAAUAUGGAAAAUUACUCUGUGUACCAGAUGUCAGGCAGUGAAAAUAUAAGCUUUAACGUCAGCUCAUUAAAAAGAUGUAUUUUUCUUCCUGGGUUGGUUUACUUUUCCAUCUCAUAUCAAAAUAUAAAAAACCAGCCUCACAUUUAAGCAAGGGUAGCUUAGCCUUAAUGAAUUCUGCUUUGCCUCUGAGCAGCAGCCCUGGGCCCCUGCUUAGGAAUUCUUCAUGUGGUCGAUCGCUGCACUGAGUCAUGUUCAUCCAGAGCUGAGCCUUUUGAUUUGCCCCAAGGCUAAAAUUACCAUUUUAUCUUAGUUAACUCGCAAAAAUCUUUCUUCAUAAAUAUAUGACUUGAGAAAAAGAUAGCAAUAGUGUUCCAUGAGAAUUAUUUGAAUUUGUUUACUAGCUACAAAAUUAUAAGUUGCUGCCCACAAUGUGAAUUACUUUUGUGUUUAUUUUCAUCACUUUUUCAUGAAUAUGGACAAAACCUCACCCCCUUUUUUUUUUUUUAAUUUCUCAGUAUUCCUUCUUGUUCUUUUCUGUAGUACAUUAUAAUCACAUAAAAUUACUUUGCUUGGACACAGACCCAGUCAAUUUUUGACUUUUGUUAGCAUACCUUGUUCAGAUGAGGUGUAAAACAUCCGUUGUUGUUCUAGAGGUUUUUCCUUUAAUUCCAAAAUAAAUGAAGAGAACAGUGUCGUUGAAGAAGAUGAUAGUUGGAACCCAUAACUUUGAAUUUUGUUUUGGUCCACGUGGAAGUUGAGUUUUAUUAAUCUGGAAAAAGAGGAAAAUUAGACAUGAUGUAUUUGUGCAGCAUAAACAUUAAUAUUAUGUUGGAUAUGUAUAGUUUUUUUUAAUAAGGUAUUAAAAAACUAGCCUCUCUUUUCUUCACUUCUCUUAUUUAAAAAAAAAAAAAUCUGGUUGAUAUAUACCUAGGCUUUUUCUUUUAUUUAGGUGAGAACUGUGAUUGGAAAGAAGUUCAUUAUUAUACAAGUAGAUCUGAUAGGUAUGUGAGUUGAAGUAUUAAUUUUGCUUGAAACAGAGGUGUAUUUUCUGCUUUGAAUCACCUCACCCAAGUCAUCUUGUCAAGAAUCACGUGUGAUAAGAAUUUGUCUCUGUUGCCUAUCAGCCACGUGUUCUUUCUGAAUUAGAGAAAAUAAGUUCUAUUUGUGAGCUGAACUUCCUUAUGUACUGUUUUAUGGAAGCAGCAUAACAUUCUUUGGGGCACCAGAGCUGAUUGUCCUCACAAGGUUACAUGACCGCUCUGUUCUAAGACACACCUAUUAUAUAGAGUUAUACCUUUUUUUCCUGUGCCUCAGCUCUGUACCUGAGAAUUUAUGAUUCAGUGGAGCAGGAAGAAAGGUCACCUAAGAUUGUGAUAAGGAUGAAUUCCUGCAGGUUAUUUGCACAGAAUGGGACGAUACCUUGAAAUUUAAAGCAGAGAAGUAGUGGAAAACUGAGAUGGCUGCUCCAGAUGACUCUUGGGUUUAGUGUAAUUGUAGUAUAACAAGAUUUUUUAUAUAUGAAGCUUGAUUCUACAACCAAAAUAAUAGAAAUGGGAAAAUCGUGUCUGCUUAUGCUUUUUUUUUAAAGCUUAUUAUAAUUUAACUAAAAAUAAAUUGUAAAAAAUGAUUACCUUAACAUUAUACAAGUCUGGCAAUGAGCUCUGCAUGAGGAAAUGGAAGGAAGAAUAUGAAAAUGAUUCCAGGAAAGUAGGUGGGAGGAAGGAGAAUGGGUUUCCCUUUUCUGAUCAUGGGCUCUGGAAGUAUUCAUUGCCUCUACCAGCAUUCAGUAUAAACCAGAGAUAUGUACUUCUGUAUGUCUGUGAGCGUGUGCGUGCGUGUGUGUCUGAGUGUUAUUCUGAACAGCUUGUAAAUACUGUAGUUGUUUAAAAUGGAAACUAAAAGCUGAGAUUGUUUUUUCUUUGCAAAUAUAUUGCAUCAAAGAUACAGUAUUGACAGUGGAUAAAACACUGAGG